AGAAAAAAAUGUGUGUGUUAGUUCAUCAUAAGAAUAUCUUUUCAAGAUGCAGAAAACAACACCCUCAAGUUCAUGGUUCUUACAAAGCCUGAACUGUAUUUGGAUGAGUAUCAAACGUAGUAUGCCCAGCUAACAGGCAAAGUAGUCAGUNCUUCAACCUUGUGCAGGUCAAUCAUACGCCUUGGUUUUAAUCAUAAGAAGCUCAAAAUAAUUGCCAUCCAACGUUCUGAUAAAGAGAGAGGAAAUUACUGCAGGUUAAUUUCAGAAUUUCAAAGAGAAAUGCUCCUCUUUCUUGAUGAGUCGGCAAAAGAUAAGAGUAGAUUGCAGAGAAUCUGGGGUCAUUUCUAUCCUGACCACAAUGCAGAUUUUGUUGGCCAUUUCAUCAGACAAGACCGAUACAGUGUUUUAGCUGCCAUGGACAUAGAUGG
rnacentral:lncRNA from 1 species